AAGACCAGCAUAAAAGGAAAGAGGAGGGCACUUGCUAUACGUAUUCUAGGCCUUUUAGGAAACAUGGAGUUGUUCCUUUGGCCACACACAUGUGAAUCUACAAGAAGGGUGAUAUUGUAAACAUCAAAAAUGGGCACUGUUCAAAAAAGGAAUGCCCCAUAAGUGUUACCAUGGCAAAACUGGAAGACUCUACAAUGUUACCCAACAUGAGCAUCAUUGUAAACAAGCAAGUUAAGGACAAGAUUUUAGCCAAGAGGAGAGGAUCAGUGUGCAGAUUGAGCAAGUCAAGCACUCAAAGAGCAGAGACAGCUUCCUGAAGCAGGUGAAGGAGAACGAUGAGAAGCAAAUGGAAGCAGAAGAGAAGGGCACCUGGGUUCAGAUAAAGUGCCAGCCUGCACCCCUCAGAGAAGCACUCUUUGUGACGACUAACAGAAAGGAACGUGAGCUACUGGAGCCCAUUCUAUACAAAUUCAUGGCC
rnacentral:lncRNA from 1 species